ensembl:snRNA U6 U6 spliceosomal RNA
GUGCUUGCUUUGGCAGCAUAUAUACUAAAAUUGGAACAAUACAGAGAUUAGCAUGGCCUCUGUGCGAGGAUGACAUGCAAAUUCAUGAAGAAUUCCAUAUUUUU